CGCGUGGGUAAUCUACCCUCGAGUCUGGGAUAACCCCGCGAAAGCGGGGCUAAUACCGGAUAUGACCACAGUUACCUCGGUGACAGUGGUAAAAGGUGGCCUCUCCAUGGAAGCUAUCGCUUGAGGAUGAGCCCGCGUCCUAUCAGCUUGUUGGUAGGGUAAUAGCCUACCAAGGCUGAGACGGGUAGCUGGUCUGAGAGGACGAUCAGCCACACUGGGACUGAGACACGGCCCAG
rnacentral:rRNA from 1 species